rnacentral:rRNA from 1 species
UAGUUCGUGGGUUGACCUGUCUGCUUGAUUGCGAUAACGAACGAGACCUCCGCCUACUAAAUACAGCGCUGCCUUUAGGUUGUGUCUGUUCUUAGAGGGACUAUCCGUGCAAGCGGAAGGAAGCUGGAGGCAAUAACAGGU